rnacentral:tRNA from 1 species
CCCGGGGUGGCUCAGUGGAUAGAGCACCAGCCUGCGGACCACAGGGUCUGGGUUCAAUCCCAGUCACGGGC